UUUUUAAAAAGCAAAGGAAAAAACAACUGAGCAGAAGCUUGCACUUUCAAUAGCUUUUUGUGGGAAUGUAGAUCAAAGAGGCCAGUUUUCAAAAAUCCCCUUCUUGCAAUGAUUAUAAAUAUGAUUGUGCAAAGCCAAAAAAAAAAAAGUGUGUUCCAGGUCAAUAGACAACUGACUUAGACUUUGCCUUUGGGGGCAUUAACUAACAAGGCGGCUUUAGUUUAACUUUUUCAUCUAAUGGACUCUGGAUCAAAUGUUUACUUUUAAAAUCUAAAUAUUUGCUUUUGCUAAAGCUAAACUGAAAUGCUUGAGCGUGGAGCACAGGCCGUCAGUACUGAAAAGAAAAGUCUUGUUGGAGGUUGAUGUGAAACCUACUGUGGGCCUUUAGGCAAAUGUAUUAUAAAUCAUUACAUUUUCCUGGAUAAUUUUACCAUUAUAUAGAAUACACUUUAAAAUUUGAAUUAAAUAAAAUAUUUUUAAACUAAUUUUAAGGUUAUCUUAUGAAGUACCGGGUUUCAUUAGACAUACAAAUCAAGUGACCUACAUAAAUAAAAAGGCUUAACUAUCUUCUGUGAGCAAAACUCCGGGGCCAGAAACCCUCAGUUUGACCUGUGGAAUCCCGAGCAUUGGAUGUAGGGGUGCCAGCCGCAUCAAAUAAGAAUAGAUAAUUAAUCUGGUUUUGAGAUAAAAUACUGGGUAUCCUAUGGUUGUCUGGCACUCUGAUUUAAUAAAACAACAAGAGACAAAAGCUUUAUCUUGGAGUGCCUCGAAUCUUUUCUUUCAUGUUGGUUUUCUAACCCUUUUCCCUUUAUUUGAAAGAUGUUUUUAUUCCUGUGAGCUCACACAUAUGGGGUGGGGCAGGCAGAAGAGGAGCUGCCUCCCCUGGGGCUGGAGUUACAGGUGGUUGCGAGCUGCAGAACCCGAGGACUGGAAACUGAACUCGGCUCCUCUGGAAAAGCAGCAUGCCCCCCUAAGCCUAAGCGCGGAGCCGUCUCUCCAGCCCCUGUCCACAUCCCAGCCCCUGUCUUAGUGUCUGCCCUCCGGGAUCUCUCAUUCAUUUAAUUUUUCUUUCUGUUUUAUUCAUAAGCCGUUCCCUUUGCACUCCUGACUUUCUGAUCCGUCUCAAAACUAAGCUACUACGUGUUCCUAGGGGAGGAAGAAGCGGAGCGGAGAACUGUGAGCACAAGCGAAUCCUCGCACCGCCCGCCCGCAGCUGGGCUGCUCCGCAGUCAUCUUCGCCAGCUCUGUUUUAAUUCUCUCCGCAGCCUCCGGCAAGCAGGUCAAUGGCAUUUCUGGAAUUAGCUUCAUAAUGUGUAGUGAGGCACAUGGAAGAAUCCAUCAGAUGACUGUGUUGGAAGUAGACAACGGGUUUACACCACAUGGAUUAAAGCUGGAUUUAAACAACAGCAAGCCUACAAACUCAUGGAAACUAAACAGCUACCAGUGGGUCAAGGAAGAAAUAGAGAAAGAAAUCAAAGACUUCCUAGAAUCCAAUGAAAACAAAUGCACAACAUACCCAACUUAUGGGACACAAUGAGAGCGCUGCUAAGAGGAAAGUUCAUAGCACCAAGUGCCUUCAUAAAGAGUUUGGAGAAAUCUCAUACCAGCAACUUAACAACACACCUGAAAGCUCUAGAAUAAAAAGAAAUGAGCUCACCCAGGAGGAGUAGACAGGAAAUAAACUAACUAGAAACAAAGAGAACAAUACAAAGAAUCCAUGAAACAAAGAAUUGGUUCUUUGAGAAAAUCAACAAAAUAAAUAAACCCUUAUCCAAAACAGCUAAAAGGCAGAGAGAGAAUAUCCAAAUCAACAAACUUAGAAAUGAAAAGGGGAUGUAACAACAGACUCUGAAGAAAUACAGAGAAUCAUUAGUCAAACUUCAAAAACCUGUACUCCACAAAAUUGGAAAAUCAAAAAGAAGUGGACAAAUUUCUUGUUAGAUACCACUUACCUAAGUUAAAUCAAAAUCAGAUAAACAGUUUAAAUAGACUGAUAACCAUAAGGAAAUCCCAAGAUGAAGGGAUGGUUCAACAUAUGAAAAUCUGUCAAUGUAAUCCACCACAUCAACAAACUGAAAGAAAAAACCUUAUGAUCAUCUAUCUCAUUAGAUGCUGUAAAAGCCUUAGACAAAAAUCCAACACCCCUUCAUGAUAAAAGUCUUGGAGAGAUAAUGGAUACAAGGGACAUAACGAUAAAUAGGUUGAGAAAGAAAUCAGAGAAUCAACACCCUUUACAAUAGCCUCAAAUAAUAGAAAAUAUCUUGGUGUAACUCUAAUCAAGCAAAUGAAAGACCCAUAUGACAAGAACUUCAAGUCUUUGAAUAAAGAAAUUGAAGAAGAUAUCAGAAGAUGGAAAGAUCUCCCAUGCUCAUGGAUCAGUAGGAUUAAUAUAAUAAAAAUGGCAAUCUUACCAAAAGCAAUCUGCAGAUUCAGUGCAAUCCCCAUCAAAAUCCCAACACAAUUCUUUACAGACCUUGAAAGAGCAACACUCAACUUCAUAUGGAAAAACAAAAAACUCAGAAUAGCCAAAACAAUCCUGUACAGUAAAGGAACUUCUGGAGGCAUCACAGUCCCUCAUUUCUAGCUCUACUGCAGAGCUGUCAUAAUAAAAACCAAAUGGUAUUGGCAUAAAAACAGACAUGUGGACCAAUGGAAUCAAAUCAAAGACCCAGAUAUAAAUACACACAUCUAUGGACACCUGAUUUUCAUCAAGGAAGCCAAAAUUAUACAAUGGAAAAAAGAAAGCAUCUUCAAUAAAUGGUAUUGGUCUAACUGGAUGUCAGCAUGUAGAAGAAUACAAAUUGAUCCAUAUUUAUCACCCUGCAUAAAACUCAAGUCCAUGUGGGUCAAAGACCUCAACAUAACUCCAGACACACUGAACCUGAUAGAAGAGAAAGUAGGAAAUAAUCUUGAGCACAUGGCAUAGGAGACAACUUCCUAACAGAACAUGGAUAGCACAGGCACUGAGAUCGACAAGUAACAAACGGGACCUCAUGAAAGUGAGAAGCUUCUGUAGGGCAAAAGGCACCAUCAAUAGGACAAAAUGGCAGCCUAGAGAAUGAGAAAAAUUCUUCACCAACCCCACAUCUGACAGAGGGCUGAUUUCCAAAAUAUAUAAAGAACUCAAGAAACUAGAUAUCAACAAACCAAAUAAUCCAAUUAAAAAUGGGGUACAGAUCCAAACAGGGAAUUCUCAACAGAGGAAUUUCAAGUGAAUGAGAAACACUUAAAGAAAUGUUCAACAUCCUUAGCUAUCAGGGAAAUGCAAAUCAAAAUGACUCUAAGAUUCCAUCUUACACCUGUCAGAAUGGUUAAGAUCAAAAACACUGCUCAAUU